rnacentral:tRNA from 1 species
UCCCUGGUAGUAUAUCGGUUAGUACACGCGCCUGUCACAGUUCAUUAGCUCAGUCGUAAGCAUGUCGCGCGAAAGCUGGGUUCGACUCCCAGCCAGGGAG